UCAAAAGCGCACAAAUCAAAUAUCCAGCAGAUGUCUCUCUAAUCUCUAUUUGUCAGUGGAUUUGAUUAGUAGCUUUCUCCCUCUAUUGUAUAAAGUUAUUUCCCGUUUUGUCGUUAGGGUUGAUAUUUGAGGUGACUUCUCUGUUUUUUCAAAUGUUGUGAACAGAUUUGCCUGUUGUGCCGGUUCUUGCUGUGAUUUCUUACAUCUGCGUUCCAGAUUCUUAUCCAUCAUUAUUCUACUAGGCUUAAUUCACAGACGUUCCAAGCUUUAAUUUACCCAG
rnacentral:lncRNA from 1 species